UGACAGACUUCACGGGUUGGACUGACCAUUAGUCCUUUUUUCCUCAUAUUUUUAAAGUUGCUGGUCCCAAUGUUGUAGUUUGAGAGUUUGUAACAAUUUAACUAUCCCAAUAGGUUGAUGCAGGAGAAGAUGAACGAAGCAUCAGGGAACAUCUCCGAGUAAUAAAGGAGGAAACAGAGAAGCUUAGACCAAACUUAGAGCUUCUUGAAGAAAGGAUGGCGCUGAUAAAAAUCUACCAGAUACAUUUUUGUGUCUAACCACAGCACGGAGGAGAUUAUCUCUGAGUUUCCAUGUUUCAGACUGGCCAAAAUGCUCCUUUGGGGUAUGAGAGACCGUACCAACGUUGAUGUGGACCAACAUAUUCUCUCUCAGCUCUCGGUAAUGGCACCUAAAGUCCUUCAAGUGUCACGGAAUCCCCUGAUGGAGAAGUUCAGGUGUGUGGUUGAUGACUGUGAAGAUGACAGACUGAAAAAAGGACUACAAUUGGAAGCAGCUAUUCUGCUCUUGCCUGCACUGUUUAAGGAGGACCCGGGUUUGCUGUUUGAAGUUGAGG